ACAGAGGGUGCGAGCGUUAAUCGGAAUUACUGGGCGUAAAGCGCACGUAGGCGGCGCACUAAGUUGGAUGUGAAAUCCCCGGGCUUAACUUGGGAAUUGCAUUCAAGACUGGUGUGCUGGAGUGUGGGAGAGAGAAGUGGAAUUCCAGGAGUAGCGGUGAAAUGCGUAGAUACCUGGAGGAACAUCAGUGGCGAAGGCGGCUUCUUGGCCCAACACUGACGCUGAGGUGCGAAAGCGUGGGGAUCAAACAGGA
rnacentral:rRNA from 1 species